GGAAGGAAGAUGGAAGCAUUGCUCCAUUUCAGAGAGAUGUGGGGGGGGGGGGUGUAAACAUUCUUUCCCCUCUUCCAUUAUGAAGUGUUUUUCUCGCUGCAGACCAUAGAGAAUGACAACAAACAACAUUCUAGCCAUGUAAUAUGCCCUGUAUUAUAGCUUCAGCCAAAGCUCUUUAACUGAACGAGCAAGUGUUAUUGAUUUCAUAAACAUGGAGGUUGCGCCCUUUACCUCCGGGCCAGAUCCGUUAGUGGAGUCUGGAAGCUCCAGGGAGAUGUUGUGAUAUGUAAACAUCAGUUUGUGGUUGGCUGUACCAGGGUACUCUAGAAUGUUUCCAAGAUGCUGAGGGCUGGAAAGAGAGGGCAGAAACAUCCAAAGCUUGUGCUUCUCAAAAGCAGAAAAAGAGAAGUAAUAAAUGCACUCUGUGAAUGAGUUACCAUGGAGAAGCUAUUCCAGCCAAAGAAGAAUCCACUAGAGAAAAAGCAACAUACAACUUGUCAGCAAAAAUGGCAAGAUAUCAUAAACGAAGCAACAUGGGAUUUAUUUUGUGAUCUCUUUGGGUAAUUCUAUGCUACAGCUACAAAAGACCUCAGAAGUCUUGAUUUCCAAUCCCCGACUUCUACAAAUGAAGAAAUGAAAUCCAAGAAAUGUUAAGUGAUUUGCUCAGUUUCCUCAGACUGAAAUCCUGGCAAUUAUGAAAGACAGGUUUUGAACCCUCAUCUUUGAACUUCAGAAUGGGUGCUCUUUGACUUAUACCACCCUGUGCAGCAGCCACGACUGCCUAUAAGGGCACUAACAGGGACCUAGCUUAAUGAUUUUCCUUCUUGGGGCUAAUACCAACCUCUCACAUAGACAAUGAAGUUGCCAUUGGACCACCUUGCACUAAUAAAAUUCAUCAGAAACAAAUCUCUGCCUCUUAUCAGGAUAUAAUUAGUGGACAGAAGAAAUGGUAGCCCAUUCUUUGACUUUACAACAGAGCGGGCUUCAAGGGGAAAAAAAGAGGAAUUUUGGAAACAAUAGGAAAAUUCUAGCCACAAAUGC
rnacentral:lncRNA from 1 species